GUCCCCCUCAAUCUACAGCAACGGUGGUACAGUCGGUAAACCUGAACAGGGGGAGUAGCUUAACACAUAACCUUACAUUUUCUAUCUUCCAUGAACUCUAUUAAUUGAAUGGGAUUAUGCGUGACAGAGGGGCCAAAAAUGACAGGCCAAAAAUGAAAUACAUCUAACACAGAACAACCAGACACAAUUGCACGGUAACACCUUGAAGAGCAUAUGAGUUUCUGAUGUCUUCCAAUCCUACCCUGACCAAGUGUUAUCCAGAAAUAAUUGCCGGAAUACCUGCAGCAUAGGCCUGGCAUAUCUUGUAGAUGUUGAAUUAAGCCAAUUGCCAAUCACGUAGCCUGCUGGCCUCAGACAGUAACCUACUCUUAAAUUGGAUUGAAACUCACAUUGACGAUCAUUGGUUGUGUAUUUGUGUAGCCCAAUAAACCUCUGCGCUGCUGAAUACAGACAUUUAACCUUAAAAUUCUUACCACGCAGUGCAUGUAACAGUUUGUGAAAUUUGUCCCUAGCUUUAGCUUUGCUAACUUCCACUUACGUGCACUACUACGGCAGUGGCUCAUAAGCUGUGCCAGCAGCUCACAUUUUGCACAGACCCUCUUACCUGUCAACCAGUCAUCAAUCUUUUCUGUCACCUGGCGACCUCUACUGGUGUCAUUGGAAGCUAUCAAUCGCACCGCCUUUCAGUAAGGAAGGAUUAUUUAGAAAUGUUGGCAAUGAAUUAUGUAUUUGGGAAAUUAACAAGACAAUACACAUAGUUUAACAGAAUAAGGAAAAUGCCAACCUUUGAGAGUAGUAAACAAAGUAUAAUGCAUAACUUGAAAUGGUUAUUCCAAACAUUUACAUUAGACACACUAAGUCCCAUUUUUACAUCUUGGACAAUGGAAACAGAAAGAGAGAAGGACAGCCCCUUUACUAUCCUAAAUAUGCUGCCACUUGGGUGCCAGUGAGUAGCUGCAUGAGACUUGCAAUUAGGUUGUUUGAAAUGUGUCCUGCUAAUGAAGUGAUCUUUAUGCCCCGAAAUCUAACACCUAGCUGUUAAGAACCUCACCUUAGCUCAAGACCUACCUACUAUCACUGCAACUCACUGUCUCAAUUAUAUUUAAAGAUUUGCCCCCCCUCUCAUGCGAAGCGCGCUCUCGUGUACACGUUCACGAUUGGCAGCUCCACGUCGACAUUCUUCCAGCUGCAGACUGCACUAUGGGCAGUGAGAAACGAGAGUAGAGCGGCGUGAAAGCAACCCACAGUUUGUGGAGGUAUAUAGUGGGACGUCAACUGCAAAAUUAAAUUAUUACACAGCGAAGAGGCUUCGAUACUGACUAUAGCCACGUUUUCAAAUGUUGCGUUAGCUUUAUAAGGUCUCUGUCGCCUCGUGCUCUAGUGCUGAAUAGCUGCUCUCAGACCAACCAGGCAGACAUAUUUGAUGAAAAGUCCAUUGAGGAAGAAUACCAGGCCACUGGCGCUUCCCAAGUAGAGUUCUGUGAUACACUUCGACUCUAAUCGCUUGCAGUCAGUGCAUUACAGAACUUUGUUUUGGGAGUUGAUGUUCUGGCCUGAAGGAAACAAACAUUACAUCUGGAGGGAGGGGGUAAUGAUGCCAAACAAGCCGCCAAGGGGUCACUCAGACUUGAGUGUUGUUUUCUUUCCUGGUCUCAAAAAAUAAAGCUGUUGCUUGCAA